GCCAGGUGUGGUGGCGCAUGCCUGUAAUCCCAGCUACUUGGGAGGCUGAGGCAGGAGAAUUGCUUGAACCCAGGAGGUGGAGGCUGCAGUGAGCCGAGAUUGUGCCACUGCACUCCAGCCUGGGCGACAGAGUAAGACUCUGUCUCAA
ensembl:misc_RNA Metazoa_SRP Metazoan signal recognition particle RNA